CGGAAGGGAUAAACGCUGAAGGCAUCUAAGCGUGAAGCCCCCCUCAAGAUGAGAUGUCCCAUUCGAAAGAAGUAAACCCCCUUGAAGACGACGAGGUAGAUAGGGCAGGGGUGGAAGUGUAGUAAUACAUGGAGCUGACUGCUACUAAUAGGGUGAGGGCUUGACCAAA
rnacentral:rRNA from 1 species